rnacentral:rRNA from 1 species
GCCCAGACUCCUACGGGAGGCAGCAGUGAGGAAUAUUGGUCAAUGGGCGGAAGCCUGAACCAGCCAAGUCGCGUGAGGGAAGAAGGCCCUGCGGGUCGCAGACCUCUUUGGACGGGGAGCAAGGCCGCCGACGUGUCGGCGGAAGGAGAGUACCCGUAGAACAAGCAUCGGCUAACUCCGUGCCAGCAGCCGCGGUAAUACGGAGGAUGCGAGCGUUAUCCGGAUUUAUUGGGUUAAAAGGGUGCGCAGGCGGCCUGUUAACGCGGCGGAAAAGCCCCGGGGCCCAACCCGGGCGAGCCGUUGAAACUGGCGGGCUGGAGUUGGAGAGAAGUACGCGGAAUGCGCGGUGUAGCGGUGAAAUGCUUAGAUAUCGCGCAGAACCCCGAUUGCGAAGGCAGCGUACCGGCUCCACACUGACGCUGAGGCACGAAAGCGUGGGUAUCGAACAGGAUUAGAUACCCCUGUA